CAGUAGCCACGGUAAUACAGAGGGUGCGAGCGUUAAUCGGAUUUACUGGGCGUAAAGCGUGCGUAGGCGGCUUUUUAAGUCGGAUGUGAAAUCCCUGAGCUUAACUUAGGAAUUGCAUUCGAUACUGGGAAGCUAGAGUAUGGGAGAGGAUGGUAGAAUUCCGGGUGUAGCGGUGAAAUGCGUAGAGAUCUGGAGGAAUACCGAUGGCGAAGGCAGCCAUCUGGCCUAAUACUGACGCUGAGGUACGAAAGCAUGGGGAGCAAACAGGAUUAGAGACCCCUGUAGUCCCUGUCUCUUAUAU
rnacentral:rRNA from 1 species